GUUUUGUCAACCGCCAAUAAACCCAAGAAGAAGAAGGAGAAGAAGAGGCAGCCAGUCAAAUGCUUUACUAGUUUCGUUUCUGAGGCUUUGUGUAUAUCUGCUUUCUCUGGGGAUUUUUAGGUUUACAACACCGACACAUUAGACACUAAUGAUUCCUGUGUCCCGUGUGUUGCUGAGGAGUGCUGUUAUUUCAAGUGACCAGACUUUUCGACGAGGAAUGAGGUCGAGAGACAUAUCUACAGACCAGAAAAUGACAGGCUUUAUCAUAUCAGUCAUGUUGUCCUUCUGAAAAGUUACAACCACUUACACAGAACACACUAGCAGAUGACGUUACACAGCUGGAACUGGAGCAAAAAUAUUGAGCUGUCAACAUUUGUCUGAUCUUUAGAAUUAUCAUUGGAAACAUAAGAUGCAGCGAUUAUUCCCUUCUAACAAAGCAAGCCACAAUGAGCUUGUUUUUUCACAAGCAUGCUGAGAAAGGCCUACCAAAAGAACCGGGUUGUUGCACCCAUUCAUUGCUAAUGUGUUCCUUGACAUCACCACCAUCCUGCAAUGUACAGGAACUGGAGGACUGGUUGUUGACAAUAUGAUACCAGAUAUACCAGGAGAGCAAUCUCCUCGUCAUUGAAUAAAUGCCUUGUAACAUGGCUGCUGUUCUGCAGGCUAGAGGAGGUCCUACAGGUUAUUAGGUGGGAAGUCAUAAUGGAAUAGCCCAUCUUUAUGUCUAAUAAAAUAUAUAAUAAAAAUGUAAUUGCGACUUUAUCUCAUAGCCAGAUAGCCAGAUAUACCAGAUUUUUUACAUCAGUUAAACCUUUUUGACCUAAUAUGUUUACUUGAAGUAAACCCAAAGAUUUUCUGUCAAUAAUUGAGGUAAAUAAAACUCAUUUUAUUAACAACAACAAUAAAUAUCAAAUUGAAGAAAAAGGUCUUCUUUUGUCAGAAUUGUACUUUAUAGCUUGCAACUAUUAGAAAAAAAGUAAGAAUUCGGAGAUAAUAUAAAAAUACAAAUAUAUAAAGUCACAAUUAUCUUUAUGUUUAAUUAUUAUUAUUAUUUGAUGUGGGAGAAAUAAGCUUCCAACAGUAGGGUUUCUAGAAUAAUCCUAAUCGUAAACAAAAAUGUUCCAGCAGUCUCAUUAUGGGUACUAGUAAUCAGGUACUACCCAGCUCUGUAUAUGACUGAGAAACGCAGCAUCAUAGCGCACCCUUUUGUGUAAAAGUGAUCUAUUGGAACAAGAUGAUUUACUGAACAGUAGAGAGCAAUGAUGCCCUUGUUUUGAAUUUGCCAAUUUCCUCAUUAUACAGGAGCACAGAGAGCAGUGAAGGGUGGGAUCAGUAUUGAAUAAAGGUUAUGAUUGGGUUGACAUGUUUGUCACACCCACCAAACAUGAGAAAACAUAUCUCAAACUGCGUUGCAGAGGUUGCAAACCAUUUUCAGGAAACAUGUCGUUCUACCAGGAAACCGUUGUUCACCAGUUUGAGCUUGAACUUGCCCUAGAUAAACAUAUGCUGUCCUACAGCAGAUGCAGCAAAUCACGACUGCAACUAUAAUUAACAGAGAUCCAGCAACCGCAACAGAGAUCACCACUAUCAGAGAUGACGAGUCUGGAAGAACAAAAGAAGGAGAGUGAAGGACAAACAGCCAUGAAGUAAAUCGGAGAGAGUCACAUGACCCACAUUCACCACUGAACACAACAGUGAACAAUUCUGCUGUGAUGAUGAAGAUGAUGAUGAACAUUGUGAAGAGUUACUGAUGAUGACAGGAACAGGAAGACGAGCUGAAAAACCGAAUAAAAAGGAAUACUGAUAAAUUGCAGAACUAUUUUUUUUCAGUUGUUGAGAGUGUUGACUGUCAGUGAGUGUUUCCAUUAUCUCAAAGUACAGAAUAUAUUUUAAUAUACUUAUAUAAUUUAUAAUUAAUGCUUAGUUGAAUUUUCAGCAACAUUACUCCAGCCUACAUUGAGGUCUGAGUGCAUUCGGGCCAUUUU